AUGCUACCUGCUGCUUUUCCCAGUGAGUCUAAAGCCAGCCUACCUCUGUGGAGCUUCACCACUGAGCUCAUACCCAGCAAACUUGUCCUACUUCAGGUGGCUUCCUGUGAUGCAAAAAGGUUAGAGAAACAAAAACAAUGCCUCAACCAAGUGUUCUUGGGUGUUUGUAUGGGAACUGCUGAGUCAUGGCCUGAACCACUGAUUGAGCACCUGGAGAAAAGACCCGGUCAGCCCUGGAAGCACAGGUGAAGGCAAUUAGAAGGCAAUUGGCAGGUGGAAGGGGUGGAGCCAGGCCCUCUUAGGCCUCAUUUAAGGGCUGUCUGCCACUGGGGGAGGGUCUGUUGCUGGAGCUCCCUUCUCUCUGGAGUCUUUUCUGCGAACCUGGAUCCUCGGAGGUGGGUGAGCUUAAUUUUUUUUUUUUUUGUAAUACCUUCUCAUUGUGCUGGUCCUUCUACCGUUACAGUGUUCCACACGCUUUGUAGGCAGCUGUUCUUUACACCAGCUAAGAACCCUCUUGCCCAUUAAGCAGUAGGUCUUGGUGAUAGACCCAGAGGUGGAUGGUGCCCAGAGCCAUCUCAGUCACUGUGUUGCUAACGGAGCUGGUCUGAGAUGCAGCAGCGUUGGUUAAUGCAGUGAGAGAUACACGUUGCUUGUUGAUAAUAGACAAGUUCGUUGUUUGCUGAUACCUUUAUUUUGGUAAUCUACAAAGGAAACGAUAAGAGGAGUAAGUUUCUUAAGAGAUCCUGUACAUACUUGCAGCUCCCUUCUUCUUUGUGGCUGUUUUAGUUGAGAAAACUUAAGAUCCUAGAAGACAGGUUAUGUGUAUCUUUGUGUGUGUAUAAUGAAAAUUUAGAAAUCAAGCUUAUACAUAGUUUACUUUCUAAAUCAAACUGUAGUUUUCUCCAGGAGAUGGGGAGUAUAUUCAUUCUGUGGAUUAGUUUGAAGUAGUCAGUGGGGAAAUUGACUCUGGAAAACGCUAAUUUUCCUUAAGUGUGAGGGGAGGAAAAUCCACAAUAAAAGGAUUGAAGAAACUGGCUCA
rnacentral:lncRNA from 1 species